ACACGACUACAUUAGAUACCCGGUAGUCCUAGCCGUAAACGAUACUCGCUAGGUGUCGGCCACGGUGCGACCGUUGUCGGUGCCGUAGGGAAGCCGUGAAGCGAGCCACCUGGGAAGUACGGCCGCAAGGCUGAAACUUAAAGGAAUUGGCGGGGAGCACCACAACGGGUGGAGCUUGCGGUUUAAUUGGAUUCAACGCCGGAAAUCUUACCGGGACCGACAGCAACAUGAAGGCCAGGCUGAAGACUUUGCCGGAUUAGCUG
rnacentral:rRNA from 1 species